GUAUGUUCAAAAUGGGCUAUUCCAUUUAAUAUCCGUACCCCCCCCCUGUCGAGGAUACAUGUUUUUCAUUGUCAUACCCCUGAAGAAUUCCAAGCUCAAAACUGUUUACCCCUGAAGAAUUCCAAAAUUCCAAGCUCAAAACUCUUUACCCCUGAAGAAUUCCAAGCUCAAAACCUUUUACCCCUGAAGAAUUCCAAGCUCAAAACCCUUCACCCCUAAAGAAUUCCAAGCUCAAAACCCUUCACCCUGAAGAAUUCCAAGCUCUGAAAAAUUUCAAUCUCAAACCUCUUUACCCCUGAAGAAUUCCAAGCUCAAAACCCUUUACCCCUGAAGAAUUCCAAGCUCAAAACCAUUUACCCCUGAAGAAUUCCAAACACAAAACACUUUACCCCUGAAGAAUUCCAAGCUCAAAACACUUUACCCCUGAAGAAUUCCAAGCUCAAAACCCUUUACCCCUGAAGAAUUCCAGGGAUCCUCGACAGGGGGGGUACGGAUAUUUAAUGGAAUAGCCCA
rnacentral:lncRNA from 1 species